rnacentral:rRNA from 1 species
UACGGAGGGUGCAAGCGUUAGUCGGAAUUACUGGGCGUAAAGGGUGCGUAGGCGGACUCAUAAGUCAGACGUGAAAUUCCGUGGCUCAACCACGGAGCUGCAUCUGAAACUAUGAGUCUAGCGGAAUGGCGGAGAAAACGGAAUUCCACGUGUAGCGGUGAAAUGCGUAGAUAUGUGGAAGAACACCAGUGGCGAAAGCGGUUUUCUAGCUUAAUCCGGACGCUGAGGCACGAAAGCAAGGGGAUCAAACAGG